GGAGAACCAAAAUGGUGAUGGUGUUACUGCUGUUGCAAGUCAUAGUAUUAUGGAGAACCAAGAUGGUGCCGGUGUAGGUGCAAAUCUUAUUACUGUGGAGAACCAAGAACAAGAUUAAUAAAUUAGAGGGUUUUAAAUUUUCAUUGUAGUUUUGCUUGCUUAUGAAGGUUAAUACUUACCUAGUUGCUUUAUUUGGAUUUAAUUGUUCUUAAGUAGUAUUAAUUUUUAGUUUAGUUUAUGUGAUAUAU
rnacentral:misc_RNA from 1 species